rnacentral:rRNA from 1 species
CUUUACUGUAGCUUUGCAUUGGACUUUGAAUCAAUCUGUGUAGGAUAGGUGGGAGGCUUUGAAGCAGACACGCUAGUGUUUGUGGAGCCAACCUUGAAAUACCACCCUGGUUCAUUUGAGGUUCUAACCUUGGUCCGUUAUCCGGAUCGGGGACAGUGCAUGGUAGGCAGUUUGACUGGGGCGGUCUCCUCCUAAAGUGUAACGGAGGAGUUCGAAGGUACGCUAAUUACGGUCGGACAUCGUGAUGAUAGUGCAAUGGCAUAAGCGUGCUUAACUGCGAGACCGACAAGUCGAGCAGGUACGAAAGUAGGACAUAGUGAUCCGGUGGUUCUGUAUGGAAGGGCCAUCGCUCAACGGAUAAAAGGUA